CGUAGGGCGCAAGCGUUGUCCGGAAUUAUUGGGCGUAAAGAGCUCGUAGGCGGCUUGUCACGUCGGGUGUGAAAGCCCGGGGCUUAACCCCGGGUCUGCAUUCGAUACGGGCUAGCUAGAGUGUGGUAGGGGAGAUCGGAAUUCCUGGUGUAGCGGUGAAAUGCGCAGAUAUCAGGAGGAACACCGGUGGCGAAGGCGGCAUCCUGGACCAAUACUGACACUGAGGAGCGAAAGCCAGGGGAGCAAACGGG
rnacentral:rRNA from 1 species